GAUGAAGAACUCAGCGAAAUGCGAUAAGUAAUGUGAAUUGCAGAAUUCAGUGAAUCAUCGAAUCUUUGAACGCACAUUGCGCCCCCUGGUAUUCCGGGGGGCAUGCCUGUCCGAGCGUCAUUACAACCCUCAAGCUCAGCUUGGUGUUGGGCCCCGCCGCCCCGGCGGGCCCUAAAGUCAGUGGCGGUGCCGUCCGGCUCCGAGCGUAGUAAUUCUUCUCGCUCUGGAGGUCCGGUCGUGUGCUCGCCAGCAACCCCCAAUUUUUUUCAGGUUGACCUCGGAUCAGGUAGGGAUACCCGCUGAACUUAAGCAUAUCAAUAAGCGGGGA
rnacentral:misc_RNA from 1 species